rnacentral:rRNA from 1 species
UCUACGGGUGUCAGCAGUGAGGAAUAUUGGUCAAUGGGCGCGAGCCUGAACCAGCCACGUAGCGUGAAGGAUGACUGCCCUACGGGUUGUAAACUUCUUUUAUAAAGGAAUAAAGUGAGGCACGUGUGCCUUUUUGUAUGUACUUUAUGAAUAAGGAUCGGCUAACUCCGUGCCAGCAGACGCGGUAAUACGGAGGAUCCGAGCGUUAUCCGGAUUUAUUGGGUUUAAAGGGAGCGUAGAUGGGUUGUUAAGUCAGUUGUGAAAGUUUGCGGUGCAACCGUAAAAUUGCAAUUGAUACUGGCAGCGUUGAGUACAGUGGAGGUAGGCGGAAUUCGUGGUGUAGCGGUGAAAUGCUUAGAUAUCACGAAGAACUCCGAUUGCGAAGGCAGCUUACUAAACUGCCACUGACAUUGAUACUCGAAAGUGUGGGUAUCAAACAGGAGUAGAUACCCUUGUAGUC